ACUCAAAUGAAUUGACGGGGACCCGCACAAGCAGUGGAGCGUGUGGUUUAAUUCGAUUCAAAACGAAGAACCUCACCAGGGCUUGACAUGAUGCUGCAAGCGCACGGAAACGUGUGAUCUUCGAGAGUGCAUCAAAGCUGCUGCAUGGCUGUCGUCAGCUCGUUCCGUGAGGAGUACCCUUAAGUGGGUUAACGAGCGCAACCCUCACUCUUUGUUAAAUCUUCAAAGAGAACUGCUCUGACAAAAUCAGAGAGGAAGGCGAGGACGACGUCAAGUCAGCACGGUGCUUAUGCCCUGGGCAACACACACCCUACAAUGGCGAAGAACAACGAGAUGCGAGCUGGCAACAGUAAGCAAAUCUCUGAAAUUUCGCCCCAGUUCAGAUUGGGGUCUGCAACUCGACCCCAUGAAGUCGGAAUUGCUAGUAAUGGCCUAUCAGCAGGAGGCCGUGAAUACGUUCUCGGGUCUUGUACACACCGCCCGU
rnacentral:rRNA from 1 species